AAACUUUACAAUGCACGAAAGUGCGAUAAGGGGACCCCGAGUGUUGGUGCCUAGCAUCAACUGUCCAACUGUCUAAAAAACAGUUAUUAGCAAGAGCCGGGUAAGACCGGUGCCAGCCGCCGCGGUAACACCGGCGGCUCGAGUGGUGAUCACUAUUAUUGGGUCUAAAGGGUUCGUAGCCGGCUUAAUAAGUUCUUUGGGAAAUCUGGCGGCUUAACCGUCAGGCUGCCGAGGGAUACUGUUAGGCUUGAGACCGGGAGGGGCUAGAGGUACUUCAGGGGUAGGGGUGAAAUCCUGUGAUCCCUGUGAGACCACCAGUGGCGAAGGCGUCUAGCUAGAACGGGUCUGACGGUGAUGAACGAAAGCUAGGGGCACGAACCGG
rnacentral:rRNA from 1 species